rnacentral:rRNA from 1 species
UACGGAGGGAGCUAGCGUUGUUCGGAAUUACUGGGCGUAAAGCGCACGUAGGCGGCGAUUCAAGUCAGAGGUGAAAGCCCGGGGCUCAACUCCGGAACUGCCUUUGAAACUAGAUUGCUAGAAUCUUGGAGAGGCGAGUGGAAUUCCGAGUGUAGAGGUGAAAUUCGUAGAUAUUCGGAAGAACACCAGUGGCGAAGGCGACUCGCUGGACAAGUAUUGACGCUGAGGUGCGAAAGCGUGGGGAGCAACAGGG